rnacentral:lncRNA from 1 species
AUGGCCAAAUGUGAUUAUGAUGGGAUUAUAUCUGUAGUGUCUCGUGCUCCAGAUUCAUCCCUAAUUCAUCUGGGGUCUCUGGCCUCCGCUCGGUGCUUACUGGCCUUCUGUGGGUCUACUGGCCUCCUCCUGUGGGUCUACUGGCCUCCUCUCUGUGGGUCUAUGGCCUCCUCUCUGUGGGUCUCUGGCCUCCUCUCGGUGGCUCUACUGGCUCCUCUCGGUGGGUCUACUGGCCUGCUCUCUGUAGGUCUUGGACUCCUGGGUCUACGGACUCCUCUGUGGGUCUACUGGACUCCUCUCUGUGGGUCUACUGGCCUCCUCUCGGUGGGUCUACUGGCCUCCUCUCGGUGGGUCUACUGGCCUCCUCUCGGUGGGUCUUACUGGCCUCCUCUUGUGGGUCUUACUGGCCUCCUCUCUGGGGUCUACCAGCCUCCUCUCUGUGGGUCUCUACCGGCCUCCUCUCUGUGGGUCUACCGCUCCUCUCUGUCGGUCUACGGCUCCGUCGUCUCGACUCCUCUCUGUCGGUCUCCGGCCUCCUCUCGGUGGGUCUACCGCCUCCUCUCGGUGGGUCUACCGGCCUCCUCUCGUGGGUCUACCUGCCUUUUGAGAAAGGAGAGUGCAAAUCAAUUGAAUUUCUAUUCAAACCAUAAGGGCUGAUUUCCUGGAUACAGUUAAGCUAGUCCUUGACUGAAAUUAAUUAAUUUUUCCAUGGAUAAUCUCCAUUGUGCUUUUUAGUACUAAUCUGUGUCUGGGAUACCACUCCUAAGCUCAUGGCAAUAUGUCUGGGACUUUAGGAAUAACAUUUUAUUGUAUGGUGUUUAAGCAAUCCUUAGUGUUUUUUAAAAAGGGAUUCAGUUCAGGGCCCAGAUUCAUAACGUGUCUCAGUGUAGGGUGCUGCUCUACGAUCAUAUUCUUACAUUGUUGAUCAUAAUGAAUGUGAUAUGGGUCUUAGAUAGUGAAAACGAUAUUUUAAAUUUAAAUCCACCUGUUUCAUUUUGGUCUCAUUUAGUUUCCUGAAGAAAGGAGGCACAUUUCUAUUCAAUUUAUUCAAUUUGUGAUCCUACAGGGGUCACCUGUCGGAGGCUGACUCCUACAGGGGUCACCCUUGGCGGAGGCUGACUCCUACAGGGCGUCACCUGGCGGAGGCUGACUCCUAAAGGGUCACCUGGCGGAGGCUGACUCCUACAACGGGUCACCUGGCGGAGGCUGACUCUACAGGGGUACCUGGCGGAGGCUGACUCCUACAGGGGUCACCUGGCGGAGGCUGAU